rnacentral:Y_RNA from 1 species
GGUUGGUCCAAGUGCAGUGGUGUUUACAACUAAUUGCUCACAACCAGUUACAGAUUCCUUUGUUCCUUCUCCACCCCACUGCGUCACUUGACCAGCCUUUA